AGCGAACGUUGGCGGCAGGCUUAACACAUGCAAGUCGAGCGCCCCGCAAGGGGAGCGGCAGACGGGUGAGUAACACGUGGGAACGUGCCUUUUGGUUCGGAACAACCCAGGGAAACUUGGGCUAAUACCGGAUAAGCCCUUACGGGGAAAGAUUUAUCGCCAAAAGAUCGGCCCGCGUCUGAUUAGCUAGUUGGUGGGGUAAUGGCCCACCAAGGCUACGAUCAGUAGCUGGUCUGAGAGGAUGAUCAGCCACAUUGGGACUGAGACACGGCCCAAACUCCUACGGGAGGCAGCAGUGGGGAAUAUUGGACAAUGGGGGCAACCCUGAUCCAGCCAUGCCGCGUGAGUGAUGAAGGCCUUAGGGUUGUAAAGCUCUUUUAGCAGGGAAGAUAAUGACGGUACCUGUAGAAAAAGCUCCGGCUAACUUCGUGCCAGCCGCCGCAGUAA
rnacentral:rRNA from 1 species